rnacentral:miRNA from 1 species
CCCGAAGAGCCCUCACAGAGCC